AGAGUUUGAUCCUGGCUCAGAAUGAACGCUGGCGGCGUGCCUAACACAUGCAAGUCGUACGAGAAAUCCCGAGCUUGCUUGGGAGAGUAAAGUGGCGCACGGGUGAGUAACGCGUGGGUAACCCACCUUCGAAUCUGGGAUAACUCCGCGAAAGCGGUGCUAAUACCGGAUAAGACCACAGCCGUUUCGGCGGCAGAGGUAAAAGCUGACCUCUCCAUGGAAGUUAGCGUUCGAGGACGGGCCCGCGUCCUAUCAGCUUGUUGGUGGGGUAAAGGCCUACCAAGGCGACGAUCCGUAGCUGGUCUGAGAGGACGAUCAGCCACACUGGGACUGAGACACGGCCCAGACUCCUACGGGAGGCAGCAGUGGGGAAUAUUGGACAAUGGGCGCAAGCCUGAUCCAGCAAUACCGCGUGUGUGAAGAAGGCCUGAGGGUUGUAAAGCACUUUCAAUAGAGACGAAAAGCACAGGGUUAAUACUCCUGGGUCUUGACUUAACCUAUAGAAGAAGCACCGCUAACU
rnacentral:rRNA from 1 species